rnacentral:rRNA from 1 species
GCGGCGGACGGGUGAGUAAUGUCUGGGAAACUGCCUGAUGGAGGGGGAUAACUACUGGAAACGGUAGCUAAUACCGCAUGACGUCGCAAGACCAAAGUGGGGGACCUUCGGGCCUCACGCCAUCGGAUGUGCCCAGAUGGGAUUAGCUAGUAGGUGAGGUAAUGGCUCACCUAGGCGACGAUCCCUAGCUGGUCUGAGAGGAUGACCAGCCACACUGGAACUGAGACACGGUCCAGACUCCUACGGGAGGCAGCAGUGGGGAAUAUUGCACAAUGGGCGCAAGCCUGAUGCAGCCAUGCCGCGUGUGUGAAGAAGGCCUUAGGGUUGUAAAGCACUUUCAGCGAGGAGGAAGGCGUUGCAGUUAAUAGCUGCAGCGAUUGACGUUACUCGCAGAAGAAGCACCGGCUAACUCCGUGCCAGCAGCCGCGGUAAUACGGAGGGUGCAAGCGUUAAUCGGAAUUACUGGGCGUAAAGCGCACGCAGGCGGUUUGUUAAGUCAGAUGUGAAAUCCCCGAGCUUAACUUGGGAACUGCAUUUGAAACUGGCAAGCUAGAGUCUUGUAGAGGGGGGUAGAAUUCCAGGUGUAGCGGUGAAAUGCGUAGAGAUCUGGAGGAAUACCGGUGGCGAAGGCGGCCCCCUGGACAAAGACU